rnacentral:lncRNA from 1 species
CUAAAGACAAGUCAGUGUUCAAACACACAAUGCACUGAUUCACCUUCCCUUUCCCAUGGAGAAUUCCCAAAAGUGAAUCUCUCAGUCAGUGUGUGUGAGGCGUCCUAGCAUCACUGCACAGAGCCCAAGUAGGUUAUGUCUGGAGUAAAGCAGGGUUUGCCCUGGGCAUGGCUGGGCAGGUUCAAGGCCAAGACCAGGUGCCUGUGGCUCUGGUGAGGAUGCUGGGUUGUGCAGGUCAUGUGGGAUCCUGUGGGAUCGAGUGUCAGGCCUGGGUUCACACCAGAGUCAGCAACAGUGGAGUCUUGAGUGGCCAGCCUCCUGCUGCCCCUCUGAGGGGAUGCCCCAGAGGGCUAGGGCUCCCCCUAGGCCACCUCUGCAAGGUCCCCAGCAUCAUUUCCCCACCCUGGACCAAGCCUUACAUGUGGACCUUCAGAGACACACACCUAAACCACAGCUGGUGGGAGAGAAGCUCACCAUUGGAAGUCAACAGACCACACAAUCCAUAAGUGCAAUGGAGAAAACAGCUUGAGGACUGAAGAAAUGAAAAGUGCAAGCAAAUAACAUUUAUUAGAUUUUUUUUGAAAUUAACCUGAGCAGAAGGCAGAAAUCAUCAUUCUGAGCAAAGGUUGCCUGAUUCCAGAGACAUAGAACCUACUGGUCCAAGAGUUGUGGCAGUAUGUCCCAGUCGCCAGCCACCAAGUGGAAGCUGCAAUUACAAUUCACAGGAAUCCCCUGGAGGGCUUGAAGCCAGGCUAGGUCUUCCCAUGGUAGAAGAGCCUUUGGCAAGAACCUGGAGUUGGUGUGAAGGGACUCACCCAGAGAUGCUGCCACUCAGGAGGCUGAGAAGGGAGCUCCCACAGAUUGGAGACCAGUCUGAGCAGCACAGCAAGACUCAUGCAAAAAAUGAAAUGAAAUUAAUUAAAGAGAAUCUAG